UCCACAGUGGUAUUGCUGGAAACGAGAUAGAGGGCCACCAGGGAAUGCAGGCUUUUGGCAUCAGCUAGCACAUGGUACUUUCUCAGCGAAAAGAAGGAUGUCCUCCCUCUGAGCCAUCGCAGCUUCUGGAUCCCAAUCGAGCUGGAAGCAUUCAUAUUUCUUCCAUUGUUUUUUAGUUCUAGGUUUUCAUCCAGGGAGGAAGGCAUCCUAUUUCGUGGGGAGAUGGAGCUGGAUGGACCAUUUGCAAGAGUGGUGGCAAAUUCGCUCAAGAUGCCCUGGAGUUUCAUGCACUCUCACGGAGAAGGAAGACGGAGGAAGGCAAGAAGGUAGAAGAAGAGCUGAUGAAGCAUUACCCUUUCAAGUGGAAGUCGAGGUCUUACCUUCAUUGCUCUUGGUAGGUCUUUUCUUGCUUAUAGACAUUAGUCAUUCGUAGGAAGCAUACCACUGAAUGAAAUGGAGAGAGCUUCAAGGCUGUAUCAUGGCUUGCGAAUGAAGAGGAAUAUGUCAAGCAUAUUUUAUAGUGUA